UACAGUACUAGAGUACCAUGUAAUACACACGGUAUUGAUGGAAAAUAAGCAAGAGCUGCCUAACACAACCUGAGGCAAUCAAGGAGACCCCUGUGGAGGUGGUGAUGCCUACACUGAGCCUUAGAGUUGGCAAAGAAGUUAGCCAAGUGAAAGGUGAAGAAUCAAUACUCCAGCUUGAGGGAAGCAUGCAAAGAAAGGGGCGAAGUAACUGAAAUCACGGUAUAUGGAAGGAACCUGUGAUAACUCCACAUUGUAGGAGGUAGGACGUGAUGAGGUUUCUUCCACAGGGGUGACUGCUUGCUAGUUGAUAAGCUUAGAUGCAAAAGACCUUGGACUUUAUCCUAAAGGCAAAUGGAGAAUGUCUAGGCUUGAAAGAUUUAAUGCAGUUUCCAAGAUCUGAUAUGCAAAGUUAAGAACAACUUAGAUUCUACACAAACCAGAACAUUAAAUGCCAUAAAAUUGUAGUCAACAUAGCUAUGUAUACACUGAUUCAAACAUUCCAUGGGUCAUGUCUACAGCCGGGUGUUAGAAGAAAUGAUCUCUGAGAUAAAUCCAGCCAAGAUUCUAUUUUCUGAUUCCAAACGCCCAACAAAACUGUCGACCUGGAUCCGUCCUUUUGAAAGCAAUGAAGCAUACCACAGGACAAAUAGCACAGUGUUACCAACGUAUAAUCGUAAAAUGAAAAGAGCAUUUAAAGGGCUGUGGAAUCAAAGGCCAGUGGCGGACAUGGGCCUCAUUCUCACUCGUCCAACUUCUCUUUCCAGCAAACCAUACCUUUUCUGCAAUUGUAGCUCAUCAUGUCAGAAGAUGAAUGAAACUGAUUAAGGCAACUCUCUCCUGCCAACUUCACCAUAUUUGGAUGCAGCGUCUCAUCCUUCCAUCUCACCUGUCCAGAUUCGUCUUUUAAACUUGCAGUUGGUACACAAUGGAAUACUAUUCAUCCUUGAAAAAGAAAGAAAUUCUGUCAUUUGCAACAACAUGGAUGGAAUUGGACAACAUUAUGAUACUAAGUGAAAUAAGUCAGGCACAGAAAGACAAACACAGCAUGUUCUUACUUAUACGUGGAAUCUACAAAUAGAGAAUUCACAAAAGCAAGAAGCAGAAUGGUGGUUACCAGAGGCUGGAGGAUGGGAAUGGGGAGAUGGGGAGAUGAUGGUCAAAAGGUACAAAGGCACAGUUAGACAAGAGGAAUAAGUUUUUCUUAAUCCACUGCAGUGUGGUAAAUAUAGUUAAUAACAUUAUAUUAUACAUUUCAAAAUCGCUGAAAGUACAUUUCGAAUGCUCUCACCACAAAAAAAUAAGUAUUUGAUGUGAUGGGUAUGUUAAUUCACUUGAUUAAUUAUUCCACAUUUUACUCAUGAAUCAUAAUUUCACUUUGUACCCCAUAAAUAUACACUAUAAUUUGUCAAUUUACAAUAAGAAAAGUAAAUAAAAUAGAAACAAGUAAGUGGGUUAAUUAUUCUUUUUGAGAACCAAUUUUUGUUCACCCUGCUUAUAUACAUUGGGCAUAGAAAUUAAGAUUUUUGUCUUACUUUGUCCAACUCAAAAAAAAUGAGAUCUGUAAUUGAAAUGAUAAAAACUUAUUUUAAAAUAAUGAUAAUUUAAUUGUUGAUCGCUCAACAAUUAACAGGUAAGUCCAAUUUCAAUAUUGAUAUUUGAUAUUUUUAGUUUUUAAAUUAUAAAUAAUAAAUUACACAAAAUAAUGGGGAAAAAAUAAAAAAAUUAUAAAUAAUAAAUUAUGCAAAAUAAUGAAGAAAAAAGACAUGCACAUACACACAAAGAGCUUUUUAUUUUAUUCUUUCAAAUCACAAAGUGACACAGAUGCGAUCGAUCACUUUAUUUUUGAGUAGCAUAAACAUCUGCCAAUUAUUUGUCUCAUAUGGAAAUUUUGGAGGGGAAUGAGUUUUUUUCUAUCAGUUUCAAAAACAGAGGUAAAACUGGGGCAAAAAACAGACCAAAUGGUUAUGUAUAUUUUUAGCAGAACAAAAUACACUGAAGCAAAAAAAUAUAUACCUCUUUACCUCAUGUCUCAGUAAUUAAUUCAAUGUGUUUAAAUUUUUCCAUAAAAGAUUAUCCUCUCAUUUUAAAACCAGAAACCUGAGCAUAAGCAAAACAAUAUUUAUUCCAUGUUUCAUUCUCUGAAAUAAAUAACAUCCAGCAACGUUUCAACUUGACACAGUGACAGUUAAAGCAUCACAGACCCAGGUUCUGUAACCUUUCUGUCUUAAUUUGACAACCUAAUCUCCCAAGACUCGGUCUGGAACACUAGCUGAUCAAAAUAUUUUAUGAACUAUUUCUGGAAUUAUUCAAAAGAAAAUAAUAAAACAUAUCACCCUGAGUAAUUUCUCUUUUUAGAACACCAGGGUAAAAUCUUGCAAAGAUUCAAUUAAACAGCAGUGUCCCUCUGGAGAUAAAUUUAGCGAUGAUGCUUUGACCAGGAGAAUCUUUUUCUGGUGAAAUAUUUAAGAAGAGAUACAAAGCAAUAAACAUUCAUUUGUCCUUUUCCUCCCUAAGGUGACGAUGUAAGAAGAGUUUAUCUACCUUUAUUCUUGAUUGCAGCAUAAAUGUAAGGUAAGCUGCUCCUUCUGUAGACAACCCACUUGUUGUGAGGCUUUGGCCCUCAUGCCGCUGUUCCUGCAAGCUUUUGCUCUAAGAAGAAAUCUUCGUGCUCAGAAAAAAAAUUUGUCAUAAAAAUGAUGCAUGCUUGGAAAGUGUGACUAUGACUUGGCAUUUUUUCCUUUAAAGUUACUCAUUCCAGAAGAAAACACAUCAUUAAAACUUGCCCUAAAUAUCAGAGGUUUUAUUUCAGCAAAAUAUUUUGGGAUUCAUGAAUGCAUCAAACUAGAUAACAAUUAAUUUCCAUCAAGAGAAGGACUAUAACGUAUUAGCCAAAGUGCUAGAAACCAAAAGAAGAUGACUAGAUAACAAUCAGCAAAACUACUCACAAACAAGUUGUUUACUUUUAUAAAGUUUCCAAAUACAAAGUCAAACUAAUUCAUUUUGUUGAUUCGAAUGACAGUUUCUCUGACAGAGUGAAAAAAAAAUCAAAUAUUUUUGCCUUUAAACAUUUUAUGUGUUGUCCAGAAGGUAACGAUAUAUCCCUUUAGCCUUAAAACAAGAUUAGAUUUUUAAACCAAAAAUAUGACUGGGGGAAUCAUAAAAAGCCAGGAGAAAUUUUUCAUAUGCACUUCGAAAAAUACUGCUCUUACCUGGAAUUUACCAGAAUUCCUAUCUUACCUUUGUCCUUGCAUCAAUGAAGCAUUUAAUCUUGUCUGAAUUCCUUCAACAAGACCAAUGCAAGUGAUAUUGACUAGCAAGAAUUGUUCUUUAGGAAUGUGAAACUUCGAUGUCAAGUCUUAGCCAUAACAUGUGCUCCCAUGCACAACUAGACAUCUAUUGCCAAGGGGAGAGAGUCUUCCUUUUGCUACAAUUGUUGCCCUUUUUCCAAGUUCAGAGCAAAGACCUUUUUGAGAAAAGUAGAUGAAAAAUCAGGUCCAGGAUAAAUUGCAAAUGCAGGCUGUUUUUGUAGAGUGAGCAUGCCUUUCUUUAAGAUAGAAAUCAACUUUAGAAUUAGAUUAAUUAAAAUUUAAAUUUAGAAUGUAAAAAUAAGAGUCAAAGAGGCUUUUUAAAUUUACUUAUAUCCAAAUUUUGCAGGAUAUAUUGCUGGAAUACGACCAAAGAGUUUAACAUAUUAAACUAGGUAAAAUCUGAAAAAUAUUUUUAGUACAACUAGUUUAUAUUUCCCAUGUAUUAAUGCCUCUCGUUUUCCUGCUUCCUGUCUCCUUUGCCUGAUUUUCACUUCCUUUUCUCUUUUUUUCUUCUAUCACUAACCUUAGCUUGGAAGAGUUUCCAUGAUUCAAUCUUCUUCCAAUUUCUUUGUUCUCUUUGGCAGGAUCAAAGCUGAAUAGCACUUUUUAGAUUUUACAACAAUUACCCCAUUUGAUUUUUAUAGCCAUCUUGUGACAUAGUCCCAAAAGAUAUUAUCUUCUAUUCUACACCUAUCUGAAAUGAUACACCUAUUAAAUGGCAAUGUAAAAUCUCACAAGGCUCUUCCAAUUUUCUUCACCCUCUCCAAAUAGACCUCUCUUUUUCAUCAAUGAGGCCCCAGCAGUUAGUAUAGUCCCUAGCAUAUAAUAGGUGCUCAGUAAAUACAUAUUGAAUAAAUGAAUGAAUGAAUGAUAGCUAUACUUCUAUUUCUAUGAGAACUUCCACUUUUCAAAGUGCUUUUAUAUAUAUGAACUCCUCUGAAAAACACGUUUCAUGAAUUAGAUCAGCUACUUUGGUUCUCCAUUUUACUGCUAAAGAAAGUGUGGCUCAGAAAAGUAAAAGAAAUGCAUUCAUAAAUAGCCAAAAGUCUUUUUUUUCAGGCCAGCUUAGUGCCUAAAAAAAUUAAUAUAAGUAGAAUUUUCAACCCCAUAUGAACCUGUGGGCUAUUCUUCACUACAAAGUUAAGGUUAUGAUAAGUGCUAGUUAUUUUCACUAUUCUGCAUAGUCUCAAUAGUGUGUGUGUGCAUAUGUGUGUGCACAAGUGACUUUAUGUAUAUAUGUAUAUACACAC
rnacentral:lncRNA from 1 species